UUGUUUUAAUUAGCCAAUCACAGUCCGCUGCCUCAGUAUAAAAGCUGUCCUGACUUCUCUCAGCUCAGUUGUGUGGGAGAGAAGCCAGAGGACAGCAGCUGUAGAAACCAGAAUCAUCCGGUGAUUGGGCGUUGUCGUGUGUGCUGGGCAAAACGUUCUUACUGAACUGGCCAGGUGCCCAUUCAGGGGAUAUUCGAUGGCGAGCUAGGCUCUGGAGCACACAACAUUCCUGUUAUCCAUUCAACACUCUUUGGUCUGGUAGGAGGCUAUACAGCCUGUCCUUUUCCUCUCCCACCUCCUCGAGCUACGCAACCGCUACAAUAUUCAACCCCCUGGACUAUCGCGCUAAUGGACAUUUCAAAGCAUUCAAUAACAAACAUAUGGACUUAAACGCGGUGCACAGUUUUGGUGUUCCAUUUUUGGUUGGGAGAACAGACACUGCUUUUUGUUUUCCUUCUUGCUUCAAUGAACAAUAUUUUGGACAUAUGAUGUAACUUAAAAUUGAUUGAAGUUGAUUGUUUUAUUUCUGCUGCAGUGGUUAUGUAUAUAUUGGGUUCUGUUAUAUUCACUGUUUAUACAAUACACUUUUCCUUAAUUCAA